UCCAGACUCCUACGGGAGGCAGCAGUGGGGAAUAUUGCACAAUGGGGGAAACCCUGAUGCAGCGACGCCGCGUGAGUGAAGAAGUAUUUCGGUAUGUAAAGCUCUAUCAGCAGGGAAGAAAAUGACGGUACCUGACUAAGAAGCCCCGGCUAACUACGUGCCAGCAGCCGCGGUAAUACGUAGGGGGCAAGCGUUAUCCGGAUUUACUGGGUGUAAAGGGAGCGUAGACGGCAUGGCAAGUCAGAUGUGAAAGCCCGGGGCUCAACCCCGGGACUGCAUUUGAAACUGUCAGGCUGGAGUGCAGGAGAGGUAAGUGGAAUUCCUAGUGUAGCGGUGAAAUGCGUAGAUAUUAGGAGGAACACCAGUGGCGAAGGCGGGCUGCUGGACAGCAACUGACGGUGAGGCGCGAAAGCGUGGGGAGCAAACAGGAUUAGAUACCCGAGUAUA
rnacentral:rRNA from 1 species